CGAGUUCAAUAUGUCAAAAUGACUCUCGGCAACGGAUAUCUCGGCUCUUGCAUCGAUGAAGAACGUAGCAAAAUGCGAUACGUGGUGUGAAUUGCAGAAUUCCGUGAACCAUCGAGUUUUUGAACGCAAGUUGCGCCCAACGUCAUUUGGUUGA
rnacentral:rRNA from 1 species